AUUCUAUGGUGGGGAAAUUGUUUCAACAAUUCUUUAAAUCUCUCUCAAACAUCAAAUAAUGACUAUGUUUUCCUUUGUCGAAAUGAUGUAAUUUCAUUUCUCAUCAU